UUCAAUUUCAAAUGUGCAUAGACGGAGUAGCGUUCUUGUGUUUGGGAAAGUGUUGACUGUGUUUUCACAGAUACAAACAAAAUGGAAAAUUUAUUGUGCACAUAUCAUGUAGUGUGUGUUCUGCUCCAUAAUGCGUAAUUCAUAAGUUUCGUACUUCAUGUCAAGCCGCAUGGUAAGAAGAAAUAUAGAAUCCCUAAGUAAGGAAAUUUCAAGUGUUGAGCAGAAACUGCAAGAUGUUUUGAAAUCGAAGAGUAAGAAGCCUGGUCUUGGGCGAAAUGAAACUGCGAGUCGCGACAUUGAAUUGUUUAUUACUGGACCGUCGGGAAAGAAACUACCAACAGCGAUAGUGAAGCCAGACACGCUAUUUCGGGCGCGCAAGGCUUCUGGCAAAUGUGUGGAUGUAUUUGAAAAUAAUGACGGUACUGUCAAGGUGACAAUAGAGCGGAAUAGCUCCUCUCGCGAAAACCGCAGACGUUCUCGCAGUACACCAGAAAUCAAUCUUGCGUCGGCAGAUGAUGAUAGAGCUACAAAGUCAAGCGAAAACAUGAAAAAAGUUGCUGAUCGUCGAAGUACGACAGGAGUAAUGCCAAGAAAAGUGAAAGCAACGCCGAGGUCCUUACACCAGUCAUGGGGCGAUGUGCUGGAUGGGAAACACAGGAGUGCAAAUGCAACACAGCAGCCAAGAAAGACACAACAAGGAAAUCUGAUUAAAAAGCAGCCUGAAAAGUGUGAUAAUAGUGAUGUACGUCCUUCAUCUGUGGCCCCUGCUGUUCAGCGAAAGGAUUCGAACAAUGCUGUGAAGGAAGAGAACUCUGCUGUUGCUAGUCGUACCUCCAUCUCAAAAAAUAAUGCUUCAGAAUCUAUACCAGCUUGUAAACCUCAACAUGAUACCAGUUCCUUAUCACCAUCCAGUUCGUCUUGUUACAGGUCUUCGGUGGCCAGUGGAUCUCGCGAGUUCCAGUCUGCAAUACCUCAUAGUCAGGCUGUAGAGAAUGAACCAUUUGCUCUGUUCAAUCCAGUAACUACAUUAAAUUUCCUUGUAAAGGAACUACGAGGGAUUGUUAGAAAGAACUCAACACCUACGUGUAUCUCACGUGUUUUAUGUGACAUUGAACGCACAGUGGCACGUAUUCCACCUGAAGUAUGUGAGAAAGAUGUUACUCAUGGUCAUGGUGAUGCCAGAAUCAGACAUGUAGUGCAAGCUCCCCCACCAGAACUACUGGAAGAACUGAGAAGAAAUGUGGAGCAUAUGGAGCAUAGGUCACGUCAGUUGCAUUCAACUUGCGAAGCCUUACGCAAAGAUCGCGACCAGCUUAGACAAACACUAACAACAAGACAGAGUGAGAUGGAUGCUAUAUUGCACAUACUGAAAGAGAAAGAGGCAACCAUAGAAAAACUUCAGAGAGAUUUUGCAUCAGUAAGUGCUAAAACAGAGGAAUACUGUAAGACAAUAACAGAAAUGUCCGCUUCUGUAAUUACACUCAAGGAAAGUAAAGAGGAUUUGUUGAAAAAACAAGAAGCAUUGGAGUCUCGAUUAAAAGAUACUAUGAAAGAGCUAGAGAAACAAACAGCAGAACUGCAGCUGAAAAACCUGGAAAGAGAGAAGAUGGCAGCUCAGCUGGGCUCGAGGGAGAGGGAACUGGAAGUAUGCAAACUGCAGCUUAUGGAAAUGAAAACAUUGGUUCGUGAUCAGCUGACUGCACUGCGGGAAGCUGUACGAGGUGGCCUGCCUCCAAGCCAGAUACCUCCACCCAGUCUGGCAGUAUCAGAAGAACAGCACAGACGACGUUUGCGCACCUCCUCUCCAACGUCCAGUGCAGAUUCAUCUCAGCUGAGUGUGUCACCCUCCUGGCACAAAAUUAGCUCAAUAACUCCACCACCGGACAUCAGUGCCGAUCCAGUCCGUACUCAGCCUGAACUCACUGAUCUACCUGACAGCCAGGCAUCAGUGACAAUUGCCGGACCCAGAGUACCAGCAGGGCGGAUAUCUCCUGAACACUUACCUGUGUCUCGUAUGGUGUUCAGAAGCCUCAACCAGGAGGAUUCUGGUGUUGGUAAUGAAGCUUCCAUCUCAAAGUCAAUAGAUGAUGUGAGAGUGCUUCCGCUAACAUCAGAAGAGGAGGUAGAUGUCAUGGCAACAGAUGGAGAGCCAGCUGCAUUUGUGAGUAAAAGCCUUCGUGAAAUGCUGGAAGGUUUGCAUAGACGAUCCCAGCAACUUGGAAUGCCAGCAAAUGGAACUGAUUUUCUGAAACUGCCACCACCAUAUCCGUCACUACCACCAGAACCUGGGGGGUUGUCACAGAUUAAAACCCAGUUGAAAGGAUGAAGAUAUGCAAUGGUAGACAAGAUAAAAGAAAAUUUGCAGAUGGCACUUCACCAAUCCAGCAAGAGGAAUACCACGACAGGUUCUGGAAGUGGAAACGGUGUUGGGAGUGUUGUAUCAAUUGUGAAGGAAAGUAUUUUGAAGGAAACCAUACACAAUAAGUAAAAGAUUAGUGCUCCUACAGAUGUGACAGAUACAUCUGCUGCUUAUGCAUCACUCAGUGAACCAGAGACUGCAAUUUUGAAGCUUGGUUAUAAUCAUAAAGGAAAAAACCUCAUAUGGCCUACAUAAUUCAG
rnacentral:misc_RNA from 1 species